GGGUGUGAGCAUGAUCUGACUGUGACAUCUGUCACUACAUUAAUCACCGGUGUUGAUCUGGCUGAUCUGGCUGGCUAGGUGGGUGUCCCCUACAUCCGUUAUGGCUUCACAUCCGUCCCUCCUGAAUCUAUACACUUAGUAGGUAAAGAGGACAGCCUUCCAAAGUAUGGGAGGAUGACCUCCUGCCAUAGAGGAGGACGGUUCCUGGUAAAAGGUAGCUGCACUCCUCUGAUAGAAUCUCCAAACAAGCUCUCAAAGGGUGUCCAAACUACUGUGCAAAUGACAGUAUAAUGAAGCCAAGGUCCCUUGAGAAUACAAACCCUUAGUAUAGUUAGUAUACAUGUGGGAAUU
rnacentral:snRNA from 1 species